CUUUACUGUAACCUGGAAUUGGGUUCGGGCUUUGCUUGCGCAGGAUAGGUGGGAGGCGUUGAAGCAUUCCUUGUGGGGAGUGUGGAGCCAACGGUGAGAUACCACUCUGUCAGAGCUAGAAUUCUAACCUUCACCUGUGAUCCGGGGAAGGAACCGUAUCAGGUGGGCAGUUUGACUGGGGCGGUCGCCUCCUAAAUGGUAACGGAGGCGCGCAAAGGUUCCCUCAGGCUGGUUGGAAAUCAGCCGAAGAGUGUAAAGGCAGAAGGGAGCUUGACUGCAAGAGCAACAACUCAAGCAGGGACGAAAGUCGGCCUUAGUGAUCCGACGGCGCUGAGUGGAAGGGCCGUCGCUCAACGGAUAAAAGUUA
rnacentral:rRNA from 1 species